AUCUUCUUCCACUGAGCGCACAGCUUCAGGAGGGACGCACAUGGAAACAAUGAGGGAGAAAAAGGGCACCCGCAUAGCCAGCCUGAUCAGCUGAAUUAAUUCUGGCCAUCAAUGGGGUGACAGAUGUCACAGCCAGAUCACCCUCACAUCCUAAAAAAUGGAAAACAGGAAGCAUCAGUGAAUUUUGGGUGCUCCCGGCAAACUGAAAUUUGCCUAUUGAAGCCCGAGAAUAUGUUCCCAAAGCAACAGGAACCACUGCUCUCAAACAUCAGAAAUACAAGGUGAUUAUCCUGAUGAUGGAGUUGCACCUGAGAAAAACACGAUCAUGCCAUGCAAGAUGGUCAUGGUCACCAUGACUGUCUGUCACAGUGGAUGGCACUUGUGUUUCGCUUGGAUUCUUGUACCUGCUGGAUGGUUGCCACACGAGG